GCAGUUGCACGUUGCGGGGCAGUGACUUCGCGAGAGCCGAGCACUGCACGCAAGCACGGAGAUUGCUCGUUCGUGAGGCACCAUACGACGAAGCUCGAGAAGCGGCGCCAAUGCACGACCACAUUCAGAUGAAAUCAGGCUUAAUGUACGACAUGAAUGAAAGCUCACAUAGGGGGUUAAUUUUGAAAGAAGUCCCCCGUCUGAAAGAACAAGGCACACGCCUGAAAGGACACCACUUAGGCGUCCAAGCCCCCGUAGCCACUCGUGAAGCACCUCGGCAAGGAGAAGACGAUUUGUUGCUGGUAUUGUUGGACAACGACCUUACCCUGAUGAAGAUCCUGCUGUUGACGGGGUAAUAGUUUCCAGCCACUGGCUCCUGUAUAUUAACCUUCCACGUCGGCCUGUAAUUUAGGCUGAAAGUAAAAUAAAAUAAAAC